CUCUUGACCUUGUGAUCCGCCCAUCUUGGCCUCCCAAAGUGCUGGGAUUACAGGAGUGAGCCACCGCACCCAGCUCUUCUUUGAGUUUUUAAGGCCACAUAAGCUGUGGAUGUUAUAGAAUUUCUUAUUUCCCUGGGCAGCAACUGGGCCUCUAUUGAGACCCAAAUGCCCUCUUCAGAGGGAACUACGAGGUCAACAAGCACAAUCCCCACAUGUGCAGUGAAGUCUCCAUACGUCCACUCUGGAGGAGGAGAUGACAAGGCAGGGAGGCUGUCAUUUCCUACUUGGGCGGACCCUUCUAGGGGCGGUCUGCUCUGGCCCCUCCGCAAUUCCAGUCAGCAGCCUAGCAUGUCACUCUGGGAGGACCGCAGGAACUAGCAAAUCCAAUAUUCUGCUUACAAAUGGAGAGACGGAGGCCCCAAGAAGAAAGCUAAGAGGUACCAUCAUCAAAGGUAAGGUGAUGGGAAGCUGCCCCAUGCCUCGGUGUUCCACUAUGAGACAGAAGACACAGUGGUUAUAACUGCCACUUACCACUGAUUGUUAAACUCAACUUCAUUUCUUUUUAUUUUUUGCCUUUGCCAUGAUAGAUUUUAUAUCUUAUCACCACAACUGUGUGGUGAUGUGGUUUGGAUGUGUGUCCCCUCCAAAUCUCAUGUUGAAAUGUGGUCCCCAGUGUUGGAGGUGGGGCCUGAUGGGAGGUGUUGGAUCAUGGCAGUGGAUUCCUCAUGCAUGGCUUGGCACUCUCUCCUUGGUGAUGAGUUCCUGCUCUGAGAUGACAACUCAGAUAACUCCAUGCUGUGGUGCUAGCACCUGAGAGACCCAUGACCGAGAGAUCUGCCCCCACAUAUAAAUCCAGAGGGAUGGGGCUGGCCUGCUGCUUCUCUUCAAGAACCAGUAGAGGCUGACGCUGCAGAGAGGGCAGCACCCCAGGGUCAAGGAAAUCACCAACAGAGGGGACCAGCAGGGGUCACCUAAGACCCCAGAACAAGAGAAACCUUUCUUAAUUUGCCACAUCCAGUGAGUUCAAUAGAAGCCUCCUGUUUCAGCCAGGGGUCCCCAGGGAAGCAGAGUAACAGGACAUGCGUGGAUAUGGAAGUGGACAUAAGCACGGGAAUGGAUGAAUAUGGAUAUGGAUAUUGAUAUAGAGAGAGGUCUGCCUCCACCCCAAGAGGACCUCGUGGACGUGGUGCCUCAGGCUCCACCAUCCCCAGGAGAAGAGUGCCAUGCUUGGACUCGUUUUUGCUGUUUUUGGGACAGUGGUGCCAUUCCCCUCCCGUGACUGACUCCUGCGUGCAGUCCCUAAUCUGCCCAUCACCGCCGGGGCACUGUCCACAGCAUUCUGUUGAUUUCCUCCACACUGUCUAACACAACCUGAAACAACCUCAUCUGCCCACCACGUCUCAUCUGUGCCUCCCUGCCUGGAACGGAGCUGCAGGAAGGCAGCGAUGUUUGUCUGGAGUGUCCACCCCCUGGUUGCAGGUUCCCUGUUCGCUGGUGCGGGUCUAUGAGGAGGAAACACACAGAAACCAAAAGAUGGAAUCAGGCUGUCUCGGGCCACUUCCUUCCGCCACAGCUCUGCCUGGAGUGCCAGCCCCAGCACAGGUGAAUACACAGAACCAGCGCCUCCCUCCUGGAGCUUUCCUGGGGAGACCAGUGAGGGUGAACAAGGAAGCGGAUAGAGAACUCCCCGCAGCGUAAGUGCAGUGGGGACAUUUGUGGCAGGGAGUGCCUGGGGAGGGUGGUCGGGGAAGGCUGCCCCAAGGAGUUAUCAUCUGAGCAAGACCCAAAAUUGUAAGAAGUAGCACGCGGCGCUCCCAGGGAAGAGCAUGCCAGGCUGGAGGCCCUGCGGAGGGGACAAGUUCAGCAGCUUGGAGGACCAGAGAGAAAUCCAGCUCCUGCCUCCUAACUCACACAGCCCUGGUUAUAGCCUUUUGUUAUCACGUUGGGGCAGUUUAGGCCUCAGGAAGCUGAAUCUCAAGACCCUAAUCUGACUGUGGGUCAGAAGAUCCUCAUUCCAGGGUGGGUUCUGCCUCAUCCCCUAGAGGAAGAAAUGCUGCCGAGAAGCUGAGAAGAGUCUGGGCCAGGCGUGGUGGCUCAUGCCUGUAAUCCCAAGACUGGGAGCCCAAGGCGGGCAGAUCACCU
rnacentral:lncRNA from 1 species